GCCGAAGAACAUUCCCUAUUGUAUACAUAACAAGAGUUUCUUGAUCCCUUUAUCUGUGGAUGGACAGGAGAUGAAGAUGUUUUCAGUCUGCAUGCCUGAGAUGGUGUGGAAUGGGACUUUGUCUACCAGGCUCAUUUGUUGGACCUGAUGUUCUCCAGGUUUCUUCAUGUGGCUGCAGGUGGCAGGAUUUCUCAGAGCUUUAUGGCUGGAACAUAUUCCGUGGUGUAUCUGUACAGCAGUUUCUUCAUCCCUGCAGCUGUGUGUGGACGGGCCAUAUACCAUGAUGUCCUCCAGGUUCAACAGUGUGGCUCCAAAUGAUGAAAUUUCAUUCUGGUUUUCUGGUUGAAGACGAUUCUAUUUGUGUACAUCCACCAAGUAUCCCUUCAUCUGCGGAUGGGCAGGUUUUUCCAUGUGGCUGCAAGUGACGAGAUUUCACCCAUUUCUACGAUUGAAGAAUAUUCUACUCUGGAUGUAUAUUGCAGUUUCCUCGUCCCUUCAUCAAUGGAUGAACAGGUAGGUGCAUUUCCUAUCUUGGCUAUCGUGAGUACUGCAGUACGGAGGGCAAGGCAGGUAUCUCUUUCACAUAGGAAUGGAAUGAUGGCUAGAUGAAAUGGCGUUUUUACUUUGUUUGAGGCACUUC